rnacentral:rRNA from 1 species
CGGGUGAGUAACACGUGGAUAACCUACCUAUAAGACUGGGAUAACUUCGGGAAACCGGAGCUAAUACCGGAUAACAUGUUGAACCGCAUGGUUCAACAGUGAAAGACGGUUUUGCUGUCACUUAUAGAUGGAUCCGCGCCGCAUUAGCUAGUUGGUAAGGUAACGGCUUACCAAGGCAAUGAUGCGUAGCCGACCUGAGAGGGUGAUCGGCCACACUGGAACUGAGACACGGUCCAG